UACGGAGGGGAGCUAGCGUUGUUCGGAAUUACUGGGCGUAAAGCGCACGUAGGCGGCUUUGUAAGUUAGAGGUGAAAGCCCGGGGCUCAACCCUCGGAAUUGCCUUUAAGACUGCAUCGCUUGAAGUACUGGUGAGAGGUGAAGUGGAAUUCCGAGUGUAGAGGUGAAAUUCGUAGAUAUUCGGAAGAACACCAGUGGCGAAGGCG
rnacentral:rRNA from 1 species